CCAAGUGAUAGUGGCAUACGGUGGAUGCCUUGGCACCAGGCGCCGAUGAAGGACGUGGGAGGCCGCGAUAGGCCGCGGGGAGCUGUCAACCGAGCUUUGAUCCGUGGGUGUCCGAAUGGGGGAACCUAGCCCGAGUUGUGUCGGGUUGCCGCUGUCUGAAUGUAUAGGGCAGUUGGUGGUGACGCGGGGAAGUGAAACAUCUCAGUACCCGUAGGAAGAGUAAACAACAGUGAUUUCCUGAGUAGUGGUGAGCGAAAGGGAAUGAGGCUAAACCAUGUGCGUGUGAGAGACGGUAGUCGUUGCGUGUGUGGGGUUGUGGGGUGCAUCUGUUCGGGUCUGCCGGCCCGGAGCACUGGUGGUUCUUUUAGCUGAAUCCGUUGGGAAGCGGUACCGGAGUGGGUGAGAGUCCCGUAGGUGAAGGAAGAGCCCAGGUGUUGGUGCAUGCCCGAGUAGCGCGGAGCCCGAGGAAUUCCGUGUGAAUCUGGCAGGACCACCUGCUAAGCCAAAAUACGUCCUGGUGACCGAUAGUGCACUAGUACCGUGAGGGAAAGGUGAAAAGUGCCCCGGUGAGGGGUCGUGAAAUAGUACCUGAAACCGUGUGCUGUCAAGCCGUCAGAGCUGGUCCUUGUGGCUGGUGAUGGCGUGCCUUUUGAAGAAUGAGCCUGCGAGUCAUGGUGUGUGGCGAGGUUAACCCGGGUGGGGUAGCCGUAGGGAAACCGAGUCUGAAGAGGGCGUUGGAGUCGCAUGCUGUGGACCCGAAGCGGAGUGAUCUACCCAUGUCCAGGGUGAAGCGGGGGUAAGACCUCGUGGAGGCCCGAACCCACCAGAGUUGAAAAUCUGGGGGAUGAGGUGUGGGUAGGGGUGAAAGGCCAAUCAAACUCCGUGAUAGCUGGUUCUCCCCGAAAUGCAUUUAGGUGCAGCGUCGCGUGUUUCUUGCUGGAGGUAGAGCUACUGUUUGGCUGAUGGGCCCGACCAGGUUACUGACGUCAGACAAACUCCGAAUGCCGGUGAAGUGAAGCGUGGCAGUGAGACUGCGGGGGAUAAGCUUCGUAUGUCGAGAGGGAAACAGCCCAGAUCAUCAGCUAAGGCCCCUAAGCGUGUGCUAAGUGGUAAAGGUUGUGGAGUUGCUGAGACAACCAGGAGGUUGGCUUAGAAGCAGCCAUCCUUUAAAGAGUGCGUAAUAGCUCACUGGUCAAGUGGUUCUGCGCCGAUAAUGUAGCGGGGCUGAAGCACACCGCCGAAGCUGUGGAGCCCAAAUUUGUUUUGGGUUGGUAGGGGAGCGUCGUGCAUCCGGUGAAGUCGUCGAGUGAUCGUGCGGUGGAGGGUGUGCGAGUGAGAAUGCAGGCAUGAGUAGCGAGAGCAGCGUGAGAAACGUUGCCGCCGAUUGACUAAGGGUUCCUGGGGCAGGUUAAUCCGCCCAGGGUGAGUCUGGACCUAAGGCGAGGCCGACAGGCGUAGUCGAUGGAUAACGGGUUGAUAUUCCCGUACCCGUGCACGAGCGUCCAUGCUGAAUCGGGUGAUGCUAACCACGCUGGAUCUUUUGUCGGCCUUCGGGUCGGUGAUUGGUGUCCGGUCUGGGAACCGAUCUUGUAGUAGGCAAGUGAUGGGGUGACGCAGGAGGGUAGCUCUACCCGGCGGUGGUUGUCCGGGGGUAAGCGUGUAGGCCGGUGUGUUGGCAAAUCCGCACACUGUGGGGCUGAGACGUGAUGCCGAGCCGUUUUUGGUGAAGUGAGUGAUCCCGUGCUGUCGAGAAAAGCCUCUAGCGAGUUCGUGUGUGGCCAGUACCCUAAACCGACGCAGGUGGUCAGGUAGAGAAUACCGAGGCGUUCGGGUGAACCAUGGUUAAGGAACUCGGCAAAUUGUCCCCGUAACUUUGGGAGAAGGGGAGCCCUGUCUGGUGAAGGAACGUGCUUCUGGAGCUGGGUGGGGUCGCAGAUAGCGGGGGGAAGCGACUGUUUAUUAAAAACACAGGUCCGUGCGAAGUCGUAAGACGCUGUAUACGGACUGACGCCUGCCCGGUGCUGGAACGUUAAGAGGACUGGUUAGCGGGUUCGUCCUGCGAAGCUGGGAAUCUAAGCGCCAGUAAACGGCGGUGGUAACUAUAACCAUCCUAAGGUAGCGAAAUUCCUUGUCGGGUAAGUUCCGACCUGCACGAAUGGCGUAACGACUUCCCCACUGUCUCAACCAUGGGCCCGGUGAAAUUGCACUACGAGUAAAGAUGCUCGUUUCGCGCAGCAGGACGGAAAGACCCCGGGACCUUCACUAUAGCUUGACAUUGGUGUUUGGGAUGGUUUGUGUAGGAUAGG
rnacentral:rRNA from 1 species